GACGAACGCUGGCGGCGUGCUUAACACAUGCAAGUCGAACGGAAAGGCCCUUCGGGGUACUCGAGUGGCGAACGGGUGAGUAACACGUGGGUGAUCUGCCCUGCACUUUGGGAUAAGCCUGGGAAACUGGGUCUAAUACCGAAUAGGACCACGCGCUUCAUGGUGUGUGGUGGAAAGCUUUUGCGGUGUGGGAUGGGCCCGCGGCCUAUCAGCUUGUUGGUGGGGUAAUGGCCUACCAAGGCGACGACGGGUAGCCGGCCUGAGAGGGUGACCGGCCACACUGGGACUGAGAUACGGCCCAGACUCCUACAGGAGGCAGCAGUGGGGAAUAUUGCACAAUGGGCGCAAGCCUGAUGCAGCGACGCCGCGUGAGGGAUGACGGCCUUCGGGUUGUAAACCUCUUUCAAUAGGGACGAAGCGCAAGUGACGGUACCUAUAGAAGAAGCACCGGCCAACUACGUGCCAGCAGCCGCGGUAAUACGUAGGGUGCGAGCGUUGUCCGGAAUUACUGGGCGUAAAGAGCUCGUAGGUGGUUUGUCGCGUUGUUCGUGAAAACUCACAGCUUAACUGUGGGCGUGCGGGCGAUACGGGCAGACUAGAGUACUGCAGGGGAGACUGGAAUUCCUGGUGUAGCGGUGGAAUGCGCAGAUAUCAGGAGGAACACCGGUGGCGAAGGCGGGUCUCUGGGCAGUAACUGACGCUGAGGAGCGAAAGCGUGGGGAGCGAACAGGAUUAGAUACCCUGGUAGUCCACGCCGUAAACGGUGGGUACUAGGUGUGGGUUCCUUCCUUGGGAUCCGUGCCGUAGCUAACGCAUUAAGUACCCCGCCUGGGGAGUACGGCCGCAAGGCUAAAACUCAAAGGAAUUGACGGGGGCCCGCACAAGCGGCGGAGCAUGUGGAUUAAUUCGAUGCAACGCGAAGAACCUUACCUGGGUUUGACAUGCACAGGACGCCGGCAGAGAUGUCGGUUCCCUUGUGGCCUGUGUGCAGGUGGUGCAUGGCUGUCGUCAGCUCGUGUCGUGAGAUGUUGGGUUAAGUCCCGCAACGAGCGCAACCCUUGUCCUAUGUUGCCAGCGGGUUAUGCCGGGGACUCGUAGGAGACUGCCGGGGUCAACUCGGAGGAAGGUGGGGAUGACGUCAAGUCAUCAUGCCCCUUAUGUCCAGGGCUUCACACAUGCUACAAUGGCCGGUACAAAGGGCUGCGAUGCCGUGAGGUGGAGCGAAUCCUUUCAAAGCCGGUCUCAGUUCGGAUCGGGGUCUGCAACUCGACCCCGUGAAGUCGGAGUCGCUAGUAAUCGCAGAUCAGCAACGCUGCGGUGAAUACGUUCCCGGGCCU
rnacentral:rRNA from 1 species